rnacentral:sRNA from 1 species
CGCGCCUGUGAGGAGCCCAGCACAAACCUUAAAAUGAUUUUGCAGGCAAUCGGUUUGAUGUACGGUUUUGUAUGCAAUAAAUUGCAUGUUAAAUGUUUUC